rnacentral:rRNA from 1 species
AUUGAACGCUGGCGGAAUGCUUUACACAUGCAAGUCGAACGGCAGCACGGACUUCGGUCUGGUGGCGAGUGGCGAACGGGUGAGUAAUAUAUCGGAACGUGCCCAGUCGUGGGGGAUAACGUAGUGAAAAUUACGCUAAUACCGCAUACGAUCUAUGGAUGAAGGCGGGGGAUUGCAAGACCUCGCGCGAUUGGAGCGGCCGAUAUCAGAUUAGGAAGUUGGUGAGGUAAAGGCUCACCAAGCCGACGAUCUGUAGCUGGUCUGAGAGGACGACCAGCCACACUGGAACUGAGACACGGUCCAGACUCCUACGGGAGGCAGCAGUGGGGAAUUUUGGACAAUGGACGCAAGUCUGAUCCAGCCAUUCCGCGUGCAGGACGAAGGCCUUCGGGUUGUAAACUGCUUUUGUACAGAACGAAAAGGUCUCUAUUAAUACUAGGGGCUCAUGACGGUACUGUAAGAAUAAGCACCGGCUAACUACGUGCCAGCAGCCGCCGCAG